rnacentral:rRNA from 1 species
ACGGGUGAGUAAUGCUUAGGAAUCUGCCUAUUAGUGGGGGACAACAUCUCGAAAGGGAUGCUAAUACCGCAUACGUCCUACGGGAGAAAGCAGGGGACCUUCGGGCCUUGCGCUAAUAGAUGAGCCUAAGUCGGAUUAGCUAGUUGGUGGGGUAAAGGCCUACCAAGGCGACGAUCUGUAGCGGGUCUGAGAGGAUGAUCCGCCACACUGGGACUGAGACACGGCCCAGACUCCUACGGGAGGCAGCAGUGGGGAAUAUUGGACAAUGGGGGGAACCCUGAUCCAGCCAUACCGCGUGUGUGAAGAAGGCCUUUUGGUUGUAAAGCACUUUAAGCGAGGAGGAGGCUACCGAGAUUAAUACUCUUGGAUAGUGGACGUUACUCGCAGAAUAAGCACCGGCUAACUCUGUGCCAGCAGCCGCGGUAAUACAGAGGGUGCAAGCGUUAAUCGGAUUUACUGGGCGUAAAGCGCGCGUAGGUGGCCAAUUAAGUCAAAUGUGAAAUCCCCGAGCUUAACUUGGGAAUUGCAUUCGAUACUGGUUGGCUAGAGUAUGGGAGAGGAUGGUAGAAUUCCAGGUGUAGCGGUGA